ACGGACACGACUCUCCCCGAGACCGAGGUCCAAACGGGACCAGUGAAGCGYUUGAUUCAUUCCACUGAAGAACGUCGAGUUUGAAGCGAAGCUUUUGUGCAUCAAAUGUAAUAAAUUGCUUUCAGGAAAGAAUUAACUGACGCUGCGGUUUGAAGACGACUGGCUGGGAGUCCACAGGGUCAGAGCGGAGCUGGGUCUGGGACCCUCUUCAGCUGCUCCUAAAUAUACAGUUCAGAGAACAGACGCAUAGAUGAAAUUCAGCACCAGCAUCUAAAAUGGCUACAUUGCAUAAGAUGUAAAUGUUUUUUUAAACACCAUGUCUGAAUUAGCCACAUUUAAAUAUAACAAGUGCAACAAGUGCAUGCUGGUCUCAUUAUUUGUCUGCUGCAGCAAUUUGUGAGGAAAAUUGUGAGGAUUUGGUGCUAAUAAUGGAGAAUCCAAGUCAGGACUUUUUACAUUUGAUGUCAGCUCAGAAAGUCAUUUUAUGAAAAAAACAUUAACUUCUUUAGUUCUUCAACCUGAAAUCAAUCGACCUGCUGCGUGUGUUGAUCUGUACAAGUUCAUUUUAUUGUAAGCACAGCUUUGUAAAUGCACAGAGAAAACUAGAAUGUUACAAGAGGAAGGAGGAAAAAAAGACAAUGAACAGGAAAAGAGAAAUAUGAGAACAUGACAUUUUUCUCAGAGCUGUAAAUAAUACAUUUCUACAAACCUUUCAGCGGAGAAGAGAAAACAGAAGAAACCAUGAGCGAGGAUGGCAACAGAGGGGGAAGUAAAAAAUGAUGGGUGAAGGUGUGUGUGUGCAUCCCCCCCUUGGGGGACACUCCUGAACGACACUGGUAUUGGAUAUUCUAUUUUAAUUUAAUAUACAUAUCCACUACGUGAUAAUAAGUCAUAUCAUACUUCGUUCACAAAGCACGCACCCCCUCAUGUUGCCCAGAAACGGGCCGAUCGGACAUGAGCUGAAAGAAAAGGAGAACAAUCGUGGAUUUAUCUGAAAGGGGUGGACAUAGUUUAUAUUAAAUUAAAACCUCAGUCACACUGUUUUAACCCUCGGGACCCCAAUAAAAUGUUAACAUUUUUUUACAUUAUGUCUCAUGCAUAGCCAAGCACAUAAGGGCUCCCAGAUUUUGGAUUUAGUUCUGUUUGCUUUGAGCAGGUGUGACCCGCAGAGACCAGAGCUGUCCAGGGGUCGGUCGGUCCGUCGUACCUUUUAGGUUUAUCAGCACCUUUCUUUAAAAAAAAAAAACAAAGGGUAUGUUUUAAUGUGUGAAGUCUUGGUAUUAAAAAGCACCGGGAAAAAAA